ACAUGGAUGAAACCUGAAGACAUUCUGCUAAGUGAAAUAAGUCAGUCACAAAAAACACACACUGUGUGAUUUCACUUAUAAGAGGUUGCAAGAGGAGACAA